rnacentral:rRNA from 1 species
AUUGAACGCUGGCGGCAUGCCUUACACAUGCAAGUCGAACGGCAGCACGGGAGCAAUCCUGGUGGCGAGUGGCGAACGGGUGAGUAAAGUAUCGGAACGUGCCCAGUCGUGGGGGAUAACGUAGCGAAAGUUACGCUAAUACCGCAUACGAUCUAUGGAUGAAAGCGGGGGAUCGCAAGACCUCGCGCGAUUGGAGCGGCCGAUAUCAGAUUAGGUAGUUGGUGGGGUAAAGGCUCACCAAGCCGACGAUCUGUAGCUGGUCUGAGAGGACGACCAGCCACACUGGGACUGAGACACGGCCCAGACUCCUACGGGAGGCAGCAAUGGGGAAUUUUGGGCAAUGGGCGAAAGCCUGAUCCAGCCAUGCCGCAUGCAGGAUGAAGGCCUUCGGGUUGUAAACUGCUUUUGUACGGAACGAAAAGGUUUGGGCUAAUAAGCUGAGCUCAUGACGGUACCGUAAGAAUAAGCACCGGCUAACUACGUGCCAGCCGCCGCCGUAA